UGGGGAAUAUUGGACAAUGGGCGAAAGCCUGAUCCAGCCAUGCCGCGUGUGUGAAGAAGGUCUUCGGAUUGUAAAGCACUUUAAGUUGGGAGGAAGGGCAUUAACCUAAUACGUUAGUGUUUUGACGUUACCGACAGAAUAAGCACCGGCUAACUCUGUGCCAGCAGCCGCGGUAAUACAGAGGGUGCAAGCGUUAAUCGGAAUUACUGGGCGUAAAGCGCGCGUAGGUGGUUUGUUAAGUUGGAUGUGAAAUCCCCGGGCUCAACCGGGGAACUGCAUUCAAAACUGACUGACUAGAGUAUGGUAGAGGGUGGUGGAAUUUCCGGUGUAGCGGUGAAAUGCGUAGAUAUAGGAAGGAACACCAGUGGCGAAGGCGACCACCUGGACUAAUACUGACACUGAGGUGCGAAAGCGUGGGGAGCAAACA
rnacentral:rRNA from 1 species